GGGGAUGACGUCAAGUCCUCAUGGCCUUUAUGCUUAGGGCUACGCACGUGCUACAAUGGGUGGUACAAAGAGAAGCCAACUCGCGAGAGCGCGCCAAUCUCAAAAAGCCAUCCUCAGUUCGGAUUGGAGUCUGCAACUCGACUCCAUGAAGUUGGAAUCGCUAGUAAUCGCGGAUCAGCAUGCCGCGGUGAAUACGUUCCCGGGCCUU
rnacentral:rRNA from 1 species